rnacentral:rRNA from 1 species
AGAGUUUGAUCCUGGCUCAGGAUGAACGCUGGCGGCGUGCUUAACACAUGCAAGUCGAACGGAGUUUUUAAACGGAAGUUUUCGGAUGGAAGUUUAGAAACUUAGUGGCGGACGGGUGAGUAACGCGUGGGUAACCUGCCUCAUACAGGGGGAUAACAGUUAGAAAUGACUGCUAACACCGCAUAAUAUAGCGAAACCGCAUGAUUUUGCUAUCAAAUAUUUAUAGGUAUGAGAUGGGCCCGCGUCUGAUUAGCUAGUUGGUGGGGUAAAAGCCUACCAAGGCGACGAUCAGUAGCCGGCUUGAGAGAGUGACCGGCCACAUUGGGACUGAGACACGGCCCAAACUCCUACGGGAGGCAGCAGUGGGGAAUAUUGGACAAUGGGGGAAACCCUGAUCCAGCGACGCCCGCGUGAGUGAAGAAGUAUUUCGGUAUGUAAAGCUCUAUCAGCAGGGAAGAUAAUGACAGUACCUGACUAAGAAGCCCCGGCUAACUACGUGCCAGCAGCAGC